AUUGAACGCUGGCGGAAUGCUUUACACAUGCAAGUCGAACGGCAGCACGGGCUUCGGUCUGGUGGCGGGUGGCGAACGGGUGAGUAAUGUAUCGGAACGUGCCCAGUCGUGGGGGAUAACGUAGUGAAAAUUACGCUAAUACCGCAUACGAUCUAUGGAUGAAAGCGGGGGAUCGCAAGACCUCGCGCGAUUGGAGCGGCCGAUAUCAGAUUAGGUAGUUGGUGGGGUAAAGGCCCACCAAGCCAACGAUCUGUAGCUGGUCUGAGAGAACGACCAGCCACACUGGAACUGAGACACGGUCCAGACUCCUACGGGAGGCAGCAGUGGGGAAUUUUGGACAAUGGGCGAAAGCCUGAUCCAGCCAUUCCGCGUGCAGGAUGAAGGCCCUCGGGUUGUAAACUGCUUUUGUACAGAACGAAAAGGUUUCUACUAAUACUAGGAGCUCAUGACGGUACUGUAAGAAUAAGCACCGGCUAACUACGUGCCAGCAGCCGCGGUAA
rnacentral:rRNA from 1 species